AAGAAUUACGCAUCUGCCUCCUCGCCUCGACCCUGGCCUGUGCAAAAUUCCCCAGCCACCACCGCGCCACUCGCCGCCGCGGCCGACCUCAACCCGCCUGCCGCGGCCGCACCUCUUCCCGCUCGCCGCCCCCGUCGCGGCGCUCGGGCGCAGCUUUUGGAUCUGGUCAACGCAGUAGCUCGAGCGGCCAGGGACGACGCGUCUGCUCGAUGCAGAACAACGGCGUCGGGAUCUAGCGGGCGGGGGAGAAGGAGGGAUCCGGCACGGUGACGCGAAGUCCCUCCGCCGCUGCUGUCGUCGAGGAAGCAAGGAAGCAGGCCGACGACGUGGUGGUGCAGUAUGUGGUGCUGCGGCGCGACCUGGCGGACGCGUGGCCGCUGGGGAGCAUGGUGGCGCAGGGGUGCAUGCCGUCUGGGCGCACCGUCAGCCAGCAUGAGCGCGGCGGCCUCCACGCCGGAUGCAGCUCCAUCUCCCGCCGCCACCGCCGCUGUCGUCGAGGAAGCGAGGAAGGAGGCCGAGGACGUGGUGGUGCAGUACGUGGUGCUGCGGCGCAACCUGGCGGAUGCAUGGCCGCAGGGGAGCGUGGUGGCGCAGGGGUGACAUGCCGCCGUGGCCGCCUUCUGGGCGCACCGCGACCACCCGGACACUGUCGCCUACUGCGCGCCCGGUAACCUCGACAGCAUGCACAACACACGUUCGAGCUUUUGCCCUUUUGCCCAACACAAGUUGUUUACAGUUCUCUCCUCCUAACCUCAGAAUCUGCAUUGCGCCUCUGAUAAAAUAAGUUUGCAUCGCACCUCCUUUGGAAAAUUACAAUCAUUUGCAUAACUGCAUUAUGUUUUUUCGGCGGAAGUCUGCUAGCUGGUCAGUUCAUGAAGCCAUUCAUUCAUUUGCACUGUGAUAGGGGCUGUGGUAGCUUUGGCAUCAUAUAAUGUAUUGUGUUCUUGGCCCAGUUUGGAGCUGUUUCUUGUGACUUGAACAUAUAAACCAGAAAGCCACGAAUGCCAUGAACAAGGAGAUUGUUUUGCGAUGUCUUGAAAAUUGGAAAACCUCUUGGUACAAUUUCUUUAUCUGAGAAGAUGUUUGGAGGACGACGAGCACGGCGAGGCGGCGGCGGUAGAGGACGAGGCCAAGGCCAGCGCGCAGGACAAGAUGUGGCAACCUUGGGCGAUUGGUUCAUUGGGUUCUUCAAACCGAUGCCUUUUUGAACACGCAAGGUGCCCUCAUGAUUUAUUUCAAGAUGCUAUUUGAGCUAAUGCAGAAGCGUGAUGUGUUUGCCAAUCCUUGUGUCGUUGGUAUCUUCAUGCCGAUCGCAAGAAGUUAGUCUCCUAUUUUAUGGUAAUAUUAUGAUUUUUUUAUGCAAUUCCAGAUGCUAGACAAGGAACGUGUGUAGGCUGAGGAUUCUAAGGUAGCCACCUUGUUUUCCUCACAUGGGGAUAUUGACGUAUGAUGCGGAAGCAGGAAGUGUUGUCCAUGGCCUUUUGAUUGACACAAAAGUUGUUCAAUACUGCAGUAGGGACAUGCCUGAUUCACACAAUUCCAAUGAUUGCCUUUUGAAAGUUCCGUUCCUGUAGUAUUUGAGUUUAUGUCUACACUUACAUGAAGAGCAUCAGGUAUUUGUAAACCAUUAUUUUGCUUAGAAAGGUUCCUACAAAAAAAGAAUAACCUUAAGAAAGCAGAGCCGUUUGUGUGCUUCAUAUAAGCUAUAUACAUGCCAUCUCACCAAGCACUGCUAACAUGUUCUUUUUUCAAGAGAGCAUAUAUGUUUCUUUUUUUGUCACCAUGUCUUCACGGGCGCCCGUCACCCACACGCUCCUCACUUCCUAGGUACAUAUUCUUCCUGCAUGUACCUCAGUGCAUGAUUUUCCUAAUCAGAUAAAAGGAUAAGAACUGUACAUGGCGCCAUUCACUGGAAAUGCCUUCUCUUACACCUUGUGGUUAGUUUUUCAGUUCUGCACAUCAAGCACUAUCAAAGUUUAUCCUAAUUACGCCAACGGCCUCCCUAAUGAAAGACUUAGCCAUUUGUAAUUGAUCUGGUGUAAUUUACUACUUUAUUGUUGGAUAUGAAGUUGUUUUGCUAUAAAUACCUCACAUUCAGUAUGCAAUGUGCCACUAGAACUAUACGACAUCACAGAACAUGAAGUACUCCCUGCUAGGCACAACCAUACACUCUGUUAUUCUGAAUAUUUUGAUUUGGUCACAGAGAUUUGUUAUUUUAGUGAUCUAUUUAUUCGAUUUCAUAAUUAUGGUUUCUCUUACUAAUACUGCCAUAAGAUAAGAUUGUAAACUAAAUCUGACUGUCGUGUCAUAUUUUUAUCAUCUAAUUACUAAUUAAACUGACAGUAAGACAUUUUAUACCCUUUUGUAGAUGCUGCAGACUUUGCAAGUGUUCAGAGAAAUGAUGUGCUAAUUAAGGGGUUUAGGAGCACUAAUAAAGAAUCCGUGUUGCUGAACUUUUUGUACCACUAAUGAGUAAAGUGAGUUCUUUAUAGUUUGCUUCAAUUUAGUGUAGGAAGAUAUCGGAUGCAAAAGCCCAAUUCGGUGCAGCCAUCAUUUGUUUGUCGAUGAAUUUAUUUGUUUGUUGAAAUAGAGGACGUUGA